GACGAACGCUGGCGGCGCGCCUAAUACAUGCAAGUCGAACGAGAGCGACCGGUGCUUGCACUGGUCAAUCUAGUGGCGAACGGGUGAGUAACACGUGGGUAACCUGCCCAUCAGAGGGGGAUAACAUUCGGAAACGGAUGCUAAAACCGCAUAGGUCUUCGAACCGCAUGGUUUGAAGAGGAAAAGAGGCGCAAGCUUCUGCUGAUGGAUGGACCCGCGGUGCAUUAGCUAGUUGGUGAGGUAACGGCUCACCAAGGCCGUGAUGCAUAGCCGACCUGAGAGGGUGAUCGGCCACAUUGGGACUGAGACACGGCCCAAACUCCUACGGGAGGCAGCAGUAGGGAAUCUUCCGCAAUGGACGCAAGUCUGACGGAGCAACGCCGCGUGAGUGAAGAAGGUGUUCGGAUCGUAAAACUCUGUUGUUAGAGAAGAACAAGUGCUAGAGUAACUGUUAGCGCCUUGACGGUAUCUAACCAGAAAGCCACGGCUAACUACGUG
rnacentral:rRNA from 1 species